GCAGCUUGCUGCUUUGCUGACGAGUGGCGGACGGGUGAGUAAUGUCUGGGAAACUGCCCGAUGGAGGGGGAUAACUACUGGAAACGGUAGCUAAUACCGCAUAACGUCGCAAGACCAAAGAGGGGGACCUUCGGGCCUCUUGCCAUCGGAUGUGCCCAGAUGGGAUUAGCUAGUAGGUGGGGUAAAGGCUCACCUAGGCGACGAUCCCUAGCUGGUCUGAGAGGAUGACCAGCCACACUGGAACUGAGACACGGUCCAGACUCCUACGGGAGGCAGCAGUGGGGAAUAUUGCACAAUGGGCGCAAGCCUGAUGCAGCCAUGCCGCGUGUAUGAAGAAGGCCUUCGGGUUGUAAAGUACUUUCAGCGGGGAGGAAGGGAGUAAAGUUAAUACCUUUGCUCAUUGACGUUACCCGCAGAAGAAGCACUGGCUAACUCCGUGCCAGCAGCCGCGGUAAUACGGAGGGUGCAAGCGUUAAUCGGAAUUACUGGGCGUAAAGCGCACGCAGGCGGUUUGUUAAGUCAGAUGUGAAAUCCCCGGGCUCAACCUGGGAACUGCAUCUGAUACU
rnacentral:rRNA from 1 species